rnacentral:lncRNA from 1 species
GUAAAUGGAGACAGAUUAAAAUAAAUCAUCAUAUUGUAAUUCAUCACCUUUCAACUCAUUUCAACCAAAUAAAAUCAAUUCAUAUAAAUCGAGUAAUCAACAUGGCUUAUGAAUUUCUUAAAACUUUGGCUCGUGCCAAAAUCAUUCUCAUACUCAGUUAUCAGGGAUACCUUGGCCUGGGGCUAUCUCAAUCGAAUCCGCCAAGGUUGUUUAAAAGUCAUGUACGCAUAAAUCAUGUUUUUAUUUUGAAAACAUAGCCGUUCCUUGGCGUUGGUUGAGUUCACCCUCACGUGGUGGUUUGGCGUGAAGUGAACUCUAAAGUUGUACCUCGAGAGUUACCCUACACGCCUCUCCGACUGAGGUAAGAAUAUAAUUGGGUUAUCGUGCCCCUCUAAUAGGCUAGUCCACGGAACCCGCCCACUGUAGCACGCUAAACCCACCAAUUCAAUAAAAUCUGAACCGCAUGACAUGGCAAUUAUAUCACAAUCCAGCCUCUCAAGGCUAAAUACACAGUUCAGAUAUUUUCAGCACAAAUACCAAUUCAGCCAUUCAUGCAAAUAUUGUCAUAAGCCAUUCGAUUCAAACCAUGAAUUUAUAGCACAUGAAAACAGUCUCCAAUUACUCUAUUUUCAAACCAUCAUUUCAUUUCAAGACAAUGUUAUAAAAUCAUUUCAUUAAAUCACAUUUUAAUUACAAAAUACAAAGAUUUACCAUUUAACUCAUUUUUCAUAAAAUCACAAAAUCGGAUAAAAACCACUUUAGAUAAUUAAGAUGAUAGUAAGGUUACUCACCAUUUCGAAAGUCGAAUUUCGAGUAUUGUGAUUCUUGAUCCUCGAGUAAUAUCUCUUUACUUUUGCCAGAAUGCUUACCACCUAAACAUAAUGCACAAUAAGCCAUUUACUACAUUUGUGCUAAAUUGUUAUAAAACCAAUUCAGGCUCUAUACUAAUGCAUGAAAUGGGAUGUAAAUUGUUCGGAUUAUCGUCCAAAUAUUGUGUUCUACACAAAUUCAAUUGUGUACUUAAAUAAAACGGUAUUGGCCUAAUUCGAUCUAUCACUCGAUUAAUUGGCCAAUAUGUCCAAUUUAACUCCAAUUAACUCCAUUUUUCUUCCAAUUCUCCAAAACAUCAAACACAAUUUAAAUAACUUGAAAUAUGGCAAAAUCAUCCUCACAUUUUCUCUUGAAAAAUUUGGCCAUGGAGGUUCUUGAGGGGUAUACAGUUUUUCAUGCUAAACAUUACCAUUUUCGGUUUCCACCACCACAAUUCAUUAAAUUCUAACCAAAUAACAUAAGACAUCACAAGAUUCAUCUUCAAUAUUGUCUUUAUGAAAUUCGACCAAUGAAGAAUCCAUGAAGAAUAUGUGAUUUUUCUUACUUGUUUUCCUUCCAAACAUGAUAAAUCAACUAUAAACACUAAAAUAUCUCAAAAUCUAAUCAAAUAAAUCAUCAAAUCUUCUCUCUCCAAAUUCGGUCAGCCAUGAAUCCUUCAUGAUAUCUUGUGAUUCAACAAUGGAAAAUGCAAAAGACUGCAUAGGAAAGAUAGAUCACAAGCUAGAGUUAAGAAAUUUCACCUUUGAUGUCUUGAUUCCUUGAAAUCUAGUGAUUUUCCUUUGAAUUUCUAAGCUAGGGUUUAGUUCUUCUUCUUUUCUUCCCUUUUCUUCCUUUGUCCAGCCAAGAGAAAUGAAUUGGGAGGGUUAUGGGUUGAUUUUUAAAGCCAAAUAAUUAAAUAAUCCAAGCUUGACACUUGUCACCAUGUUUAAAAACUUAAUAAUUAAGCUUUCUUUCUCCACCACAUAAUAUCCUUCAAUUAUCCAUAAUAAUAUUGGGUAAAAUCCAUGUGCUGGACAAGUGUUGGGUGGUGUAAAAUUACAAUUUUACCCUUGAGGUGGCAAAAUGACUAUUUUACCCUUAUGCUAGAAAAAUGUCAAAAUUAAAAUUUUUCACUUCUCAAACUCAAAUUAUACUCCAAAUGAUCAAUCUUAGUAAAAAAUUUCAUCCAACACUCACAUCUUAACCUCGAGUGGUAAAAUGACCAUUUUACCCCUAGGUCAUGAAAAUUCCAAUUUGACUCUAAAUCGGUCCUCGAACUUCGAAUCACCAUUUUAAGUCAUUAUGGGAUUUAAAAUUCUCAAUUUCAUCUUAAAAUCUCUAUUUGGACUAGUUCGAUGCUUAAUUCAACUUAAUUGUACCAUUUGGUACAAAACUAUCCUUUAACGAUUUUCGAGGUACCCAAUUAAGCAAACAUGUAUUCUUAUGUAGGAAUGGCAUAAUAAACAUAUUGUAGAGCUGGACUUGACAUCCACUAUAACAUUUUUCUUAUAAUUUAUUCUCUGGUUCCUGCACCCCUAGUUUUGCCAUUCUACUCCCCUUUUUGUCAGCAUCAAAGGAAUAAGCUUCUAUUCGUCUAAUGUGUCAGAGGGUGAAGAUUCAGUGCCAUAGAAAGGGUUUAGAGGAAAAUGAGAGGGCUUUGGGAGAGGUGAUGACUUUCUAGGGGAAGGUUCUGAUGGGGACUUGCUAGAGACAUUGACUGGAGCUUGAGGUGAAAAGACUAGAGUUGGUUUAGAUUUCUUUGCCAACUUGGAAGACUUUUUUCUCUUGAGAAAGGAUGUCUUGGUAGCCAUAGUUUUCUUCCUCAUCUGUGGUGCUGCAGUGGCUUCCUUCUCUUGUGAGGCUGUAGUGACUUUUUGUUUCUCUUUGCUAGAGAUUGCUUUUCCUUUAUAAACCGAUGUAGGUGCAUUUUGAUUCUUAGUUAGUUCUUUUUACUAGUUUAUACCUUGGCAGUUUCCAUUGCAGCUUGUUUCUCAGCUUGUUUUUCCCUUAUUAUUUGAUGAAAGAUUUCCAUGAUAGAUAUCUCUUCUCUAUUAGGUGGGGAGGGCUGGUGUUUCUCAGAAACAUGUUCUUCCUCAGAAGUUGUCACUUCUGUCCCUUGAUUAGAUUUGUCUUUGCUCUAGUGUUUAAAAGAUGGUGCCUUAGUUGGUUGCUCCACAUCAGGAUAAGAAUCUUCUACUUGAAUGCCAUGACUUGCAUCAUGAGCAGAAGACCCUUUUGCUUACAAGGUUGAGCCUUCAGCACCUUGUUGUGCUAGUGCAACACUUGGAGUUUUAUAUGAGUCUGCAGCAGCAGGUUCUGAGGGCACUUUUUCCUUUCUUUUCAUUUCAUUCUCAAGUUCAGCUAUCCUCUCCUCAAUCUUCUACAAUCUCAUUCCUUGAUUUGUGAGUUUGCCAUCUAUCCUUAUCAAAAGAUUAAAAAUCAUUUCACUAGAGAAUUGGGAGGAUGAUGCCUCGGUUGGUGCUGGUAUAACAGAGACUUUGGGUGUUCUAGUGAUUUUCUCACCAUCCAGCUUGUAUCCCAUUUUGAUCAAGUUGCCAUAGUAAAUGGCUUGAUCUUUCGUCUUCACCAUGUCCAUUUCAUACCUCUUGGCCCAGACUCCCUUUUUAUGUACAAGGGAUGUGAUGACAUUCCCAUAAGGUAGAUUUACCUUCUUAAGUUUGCAAGCACCUCUCAUUUUCUCAAUCAUAAAUCUACCUGCAUUGAAGGCAACCCCAUUGAAGGCAUGUUCCAUCAGCCAAAGAUCUUGAAGGCUGAUGUAACUUAGGCUUCCACUUUUGCCUUGGAUGUUAACCAAAACAAAAUAGUGUAAAAUCCUAAUCUGGGGGCUGAUUAUCAUCCCUGAAUUGCUUUUUGAAGAAUACUUUGCUUACCUCCUAGUGAUGAUUUCCCAUAAUGAAGAUGGAUCAUACUUUUCUGGGAACUCAUACUCACCUUCUUCACACUCGAUUUUUAGUAAGCUUCAUAAAUCCUCAGCAGUGACAACAAUUUUUUUUUCCAUUUAAAUAUACAUUCAGACCAUUUUCGACAUAAUCAUCAGAAUUCUCUAAUUCCUUUUCUUUUGAAGCAAUGCCAGAAUAAAAUUCCUUUACCAGACUUGCACUAUAGGAUCUAUUCUUAAAGGUGUUAUAUCUUUUCAAUUUUAGUUCAUCAAAAUAGUCGGAUAAACUAGUCUGAAUCUCUAAGUUCUCAUCAAAACUCUUCCAGUCAAUAUAUUUGCCACAGGAAAUUGGUUCAUUCUCAAUAUUUUUGAACCUCAGUUCAUGCAAUCUAUUUAUGAACUUAGAAGAUGAGGAACUAGUUUCUUUCUUGAGUGUAAGUUCGUUGUCCUUCUUCUUUUCCAUUUUCUACUUCUUCUUUUUUAGUUUCUCCGAUAUCUCUUUUACUAACGUAGACAUGAUUUUUUGUUUCUUCUUCAGACUUUUCAUUUCUGUCCUUUCUUCCAAUGGUUUCUUCUUUUUCUUCUUUUUUACGAUUUCUUUGCUUUGUGGAGAUCUCGCCAUUUUGAUUCAAGAAUUUGUCUGACAAGGGUUUUGUCUAAAUGAUAGGGGUUUGAGUCGAUUUCAGAGAGGAAAGUGUAGAGAGAUGGGUUUCGCUUUCAGAGAAUGCAAGGGCAUUGGGUGAAGGUAGUUCAGUUUUUCAAAGAAAACCGUCUAUCUUCCCUUUAAAUACCUGUCAGAUUUUUACUAUUCAAAAUUUGAAAUGUUCCCUCUAAUGUUGGUUAUUUCCCUAACUGUUUUCCUUCUUUUCUUUAUUACCCGAUAAACCUAACUUUUCUUUAUUUUAUUCUUUUUUCUCUAAAUUGAUUGAGUCUUACUAUUUAAUGCUAAAAGAACACUCUUAGUUGACUAAGGUUUACCUUAGUUGACUGAAUGCAUUCUGUGUUCUGUGUAAGAGCCAAAAGUUUUCCUAUAAUUCCUUCAUACCAAUCAUCCCUAAAUUUCUUUUAAUUUCACAAAAUCUAUCUUCAUUUAGAGGUUUGGUAAAAAUGUCUGCUAACUGAUUUAAAGUGUUCACAAAUUCAAUCUUAAUAUCAUUUUUAAUUACAUGGUCUCUAAUAAAGUGGUGACUAAUCUCAAUGUGCUUUGUCCUAGAGUGCUAUAUAGGGUUUUUUGAUAUAUUAAUUGCACUUGUAUUAUCACAGUAUAUUUGUACGUUAUGCAUAGUUAUUCCAUAGUCUUUCAAUUGUUGUUUAAUCCAAAGAAUUUGUGCACAACAGCUACCUAAUGAUAUAUACUCUACUUCAGCUAUAGAUAAAGUUACUGAAUUUUGUUUCUUGCUGGACCAUGACACAAGCAUGCUACCUAGAAAUUGACAUGUUCCACUGGUGCUUUUCGUAUCAGUUUUGCUGUCAGUAAAAUCAGCAUCUGAAUAUCCAACCAAACUAAAAGUUGAUUCUCUAGAAUACCAUAUACCUAAAGUUUGAGUUUUUAAGAGGUAUCUAAAGAUUCUCUUAACAAUUUUUAGGUGUGAUUCUUUAGGUUGUGAUUGAAAUUUAACAUACAAACACACACUACACUGAAUAUCUGGUCUGCUUGCUGUUAAGUAAAGUAGUGAACCGAUCAUACCUCUAUAUAGCUUUUGAUCUACAUUUUUUCCUUUCUCAUCAAGAUCAAGUCUUAUGGAUGAACUCAUUGGUGUUGAGAUUGGUUUCAGCUUUAGCAUAUCAAACUUUUUGAGCAUAUCUUAAGUGUACCUUUCUUGGUUGAUGAAGAUCUCUUCCUCACUUUGCUUAAUUGGAAGACUAAGAAAGUACUUCAACUCUCCCAUCAUGCUCAUCUCAAAUUCACCAUGCAUUUCUUUAGCAAAGUUCUUGCAUAACACCUUAUUAGUUGCACCAAAUACAAUAUCAUCCACAUAUAUUUGUACAAUAAUUAAAUCAUUUAAAUAUCUUUUAAUGAAUAAUGUAGUGUCGAUACUGCCUCUAAUAUAACCUUUUUCAAUUAGAAAUUUUGAAAACCUUUCAUACGAAGCUCUAAGAGCUUGUUUCAAUCCAUACAAGGCUUUGUGGAGUUUGAAAACAUGGUCUGGUUAUUCAAAAUCUUCAAAACCUAGUGGUUGUUCAACAUAUACUCCCUCUUGAAUGAUUCCAUUUAAAAACGCACUUUUUACAUCCAUUUGGUACAAUUUGAAGUUCAUAAAGCAUGCAAAAGCUAACAACAACCUUAUGGCUUCAAUUCUAGCAACGGGUGCAAAGGAUUCAUCAUAAUCUAUUCUUUCCUCUUGAUUGUAACCUUGUGCUACUAAUCUAGCUUUAUUUCUAACUACAUUUCCUGGCUCAUCUACCUUAUUUCUAAACAUCUAUUUGGUGCCAACAAUAGGGUGAUUUCAAGGUCUAGGUACCAAUGACCAUACAUGAUUUCUUGUGAAUUGAUCAAGUUCUUCUUGCAUAGCCAUUAUCCAUCUUUCCUUUUUUUCAGCUUCUUCAAAGUUUUUAGGCUCAAUUUCAGAUAUAAAGGCUGAAAACUCACAAGUUUCUCUUGUUGCUUUCCUAGUUCUAACUCCUUGUGAAAUGUCACCUAUUAUUUGGUUUUGUGGAUGGUCUCUUACAAAUCUCUCACUCCUUGGAAGAUCAUCAUGCUAAUUUUCUACUCUUUGCAGAUUUUCUAGAGGUGGAGUUUCAUUUUCUCUUCUAGGUGAGCUUUAUUCAAUAUUUUUAUUAUUUUCUAAGCUCAUUUCUUCCAUUUGUCUUUCUAGGAUUUCUACAUUGUCAUCAUCAUCAUGAAUUUCUUUUUGUAAGCAUUUGACUCAUCAAACACUACAUGGAUUGAUUCUUCAAUGGUUAAAGUCCUUUUGUUAAAAAUCGUAUAGGCCUUUGAGUUUAAUGCAUAUCUUAAAAAUAUUGCUUCAUCACUCUUUACAUCAUACUUCCCUAGGGGCUAUUUUCUAUUGUUCAAUACAAAACACAUACAGCCAAAGCUCCUAAGGUAAGAAAUAUUUGGUUUCCUACCCUUAUAGAAUUCAUAAGGUGUCUUAGAUAACAUGGGUCUUAUGGAGACUCUAUUAAGUAUAUAUGUUGCUGUGUUCAUUGCCUCAUCCCAAAAAUACUUUGGUAGGUUAUUUUCACAUAGCAUAGUCCUAGCCAUUUCUUUUAAGGUUCGAUUUUUCCUUUCCACAACUCCAUUUUGUUGGGAUGUUUUAGGUGCAGAGAAGUUGUGAUCUAACCCCUUUUCAUUGCAAAAUUUCUCAAAUUCCUCACUUUCAAAUUCUCCUCCAUGAUCACUCCUUAUGCUAACUAUGGCUAGUCCUUUUUCAUUUUCUACUUUCCUACAAUGACUUAUGAAAGCUAAUAAAGCAUCAUUCUUAUGAGCAAGAAAAUAAACCCAAGUAUAUCUAGAAUACUCAUCAACUAUUACAAAGCCAUAAGAUUUUCCUCCUAAGCUAGUUGUGCUUAUUGGACCAAAUAGAUCAAUAUGCAGCAUUUCAAGAGGUCUAAAUGUUGACACAAUCUUCUUAGACUUGAAAGAUGUUCUAACUUGUUUUCCUAGUUGGCAAGCAUCACAUAUUUUGUCACUUUCAAAUUUUAUAUUUGGCAGCCCCACAACUAGAUUUUCUUAAUUAAUUUUGACAUGGUAUGCAAGCUUACAUGUCCUAGUCUCUUAUGCCAUAGCCAACUAUCACUAUCAGCAUUUGCAACUAAACAUAUUUCAUCAUUUAUUUCAAGAUCCUUAAGAAAUAUCACAUACAUAAUUUUCAAUCUCUUUCCUAUAAAUGAGACUUUAUUCGUACCUAUAUCUAUUACUUCACACUUGUUUGAGUCAAACAUACUUUAAAUCCUUUGUCACAUAAUUGACUAAUGCUUAAUAAAUUAUGCUUCAAACCCUUAACUAAUAAGACAUGACUAAUUUGAGUUUGGGAGUGCUUACCAACCGUACCUAUUCAAUGAAUCUUACUUUUUGAAUCAUCACCAAAGGAUAAGGUACCUCUCUUUCUUUUGUCAACCAGAGCAAAUAACAUUUUAUCUCCUGUCAUGUGCCAUGAGUAGCCACUGUCCAUGUACCAAGGCUACUUCUUAUUGAGUUGAGCUCUUGAACAUGUCUCCUUUAAGUGCAGCUCAACCUACAAAACAACAUUUCAGUUUUUCUUUAUAGGUACCCAUACUUUGAUGGGUCCUUGAGUGUUAGUUGCAAUAUAAGAUCCUUUAGGGACCUAAACUUUUUUUGAUUUUCUGCACAUUUAUUUUCUUAAAACAUUCAUAUGAUAAAUGACCAUGUUUACCAUAAUUAUAACAUUUAGGUAAUGCAUUAGCAAAAUUUUUAUUGUGGUACACAUCUCUUUUUGAAGAUUAAUUUUUUAAACAUUUGAGAGCUGUGUUUUCAUCAAGCAAUUUUUGCAAAGCAUCAGACUUAUUAUCCAGCUCUAAUUUUAAAACUUCAAAGUCUGUUUUGAGUGUUCUAACUCAAUUUGCAAGAUAUUUUGUUGCUCAAAAACAGAAUUGAACUCUUGUCUCAUUUUUUCCAAAUCAUUUUCAAUAGAUGCAACCUUUUUCUUUAAUGUUUUGUUUUUUGAAAAAAGAUUUUCAAAUUCAUCACAGAGGCUGUCAUAUUCAUUUUGUAAAUCAUCAAUGGAAAUAUCAUAGGGGGAUGAGGGUACCUUGGUUUCAUCCUCUUGUGCCAUCAAACAGAUGUUUGCUUUUUCCUAAGAUUUUUCAUCUUCAGUUUUAGAACUUGAUGUGUCACUGUCCGACCAUAUAGUAGCUACCAUUGCUUUCUUAGAUUUCUUAUUUUUCUUUGGAGUCUCAUCCUUCAACAAUGGACACUCGAACUUGAAGUGACUAGGUUUCUUACAUUUGUAGCAGAUCAGUUCUUCUUUUUUGUUGGAGUCAUUUUGGUUCCUUAUUUUUCAUGAAGUACCUUGAUCUUUUCUAAACCCUCUUCUAGCCAGUCUUCGGUUUCUUCUGCCUAUAAGUUUUUUGAAUUUUCGUGUGACCAGAGCUAACUCUUCAUCAUCAUCACAUGAUAAUUCUUCCAGCUCUUCUUCAAGGAUGCUGGCUUUAAGUGCAAUGCUCUUUUUCUUUUCCUUUGCUUCCCUCUUAUCUUCUUCUUCUUCCUCUUUGAGCUCCAGCUCAUGAGUUAGGAGAGAGCCACAAAUCUCAUAUAAGGUGAUAACAUUUAGAUCUUUUGCCUCUUGGAUUGUAGUCACUUUAGGCUUUCAAUUUUUUGGUAGACUCCUAAGCAGUAUUUUUACUAAUUCAUGUUCAGGGAUAGGCUUGCGUAGCUGACUCAAUUUAUUUGUGAUGUUUGUAAACCUAUCUAACAUGCUAGUGAUGUCUUCACCAGGCUCCAUUUUGAACAUUUCAUAGAUAUGUGUUAAGAGGGUAAUUUUGGACUCCUUUACUUGAGAAGCCCCUUCAUGGAUUAUUCUAAGUUUCUCCCAUACUUUUUUAACUGUUGUACAGCUUGAGACUUUGUUAAAUUUAGUAGGGCUCAAGGCACAAUGUAAUGUGUUGAUGGCCUUAAAGUUUAUUUGAAUUUUCUUAGUUUCAGCCUCGGUCCAUUCAGACUUUGGCUUGGGCAUCAACUUAUUUGUCACCACAUUCACGGUUGAAGGCAUAAAGGGUCCAUUAGCUAUGACGUUCACAUUUCAUAGUCUAUAGCUCUAAUAUAGAUUGACAUCCUAGUGCUCCAAUAAUGGUAAUUAGAGCCAUCAAAUAGAGGUGGUUUGUUUGUUGAUUGUCCCUCAACCACUACUGAUUUUAGUUGAGCCAUUUGGAUCCUCCCAAAGGAUAUUAAGCCUUAAUAACAGAGAACUAGCUCUGAUACCACUUGUUGGUCCCAAUUAUACGUGCUAGAGGGGGGGUGAAUAGCACAAAUCGGCUCUUGACAAAAUGAUGAACUAAUUUUCAUAACAAAGAAAAUAAAAACAGAGUAUACAAUGCACAGUAAUUUAUAAUGGUUCAGUUCAAGACCUACAUCCACUACCUUGAUUAUUCAACCAAGGAUUUUCCCAACAAAUCCACUAAGAACAGGUGAAAUUCACAAGCUUUCACCAAGCUUUACAAUGGCUUUUACAAUGCUUAGCUAAAACCUUUUACACUAGUUUUUCAUGAUCUAAACUAAAACCUAAAGUUGUUUUUCCAAGGUUCAACCACAACCUACAACAAUCAAGCUGUCUUAAGCUUGAAUAACCCAUUAGAGUGACUUUCUCACUCUUAAGAACACAAGAAAAGUAGUAAAAGAAAGUAUCUAUGAUCACUGGUUGAUCUGAGUGGUACAAGAUUGAAUGCAAAUUACAAAUUCAAAGAAUAGGCAUUUAAGUGCAGACCAGUGCAGUGAAGAUUUUCUGAUUUUUCAACUUUCUAUAGCUCAAAUCUCAUUCAAGGCUUCUAAAAAACUUGUUUCUAAUAAUUGGAAUAUCCUUUUAUACUUGAAGAAAUAUCUCUGAUGGCAGUUUGAUAGUUUUCUAGCCGUUGGAGACAGUUGGGGGUCAGUUCUAGCCGUUACUCUGUCUUUUAGUGCAGCUUUCAAACUUUCAGGCAAAGUGCUUUUAGUCGACUGAUCGAUAUCUUAGUUGAUAACUAGUCUCUAUUGUCUGCUUCUUGUUUCUGGCAGUAAGCACUUAGUCGAUUGACUAAUUCUUGGUUGACUAAGUUGGUUCUGUUUCUCAAACUCUUCAACCUGCUAUUUCUUCAAUUUGAAUCUUGGCCAACCAACAUUUUUCCUUAUUCAUUUAAUGAGCUUCCUCCUUGUUAAUAGUCACGGCUCAUUGUUUUUAUCUCCCUUUUUAUUUUGAUAUAUACUUUGAAGGAUUGAUUUAUUAAUUUCAUACAUUAUUUUUCCUGCACACUUAAGUAAAGGCAUUAGACACAAAUGAAUGAGAAUGUUUUACUAUCAUCAAAAAUUAAUGGAGUCAACAACUUGAGUCUUUUAACUCAAGCUCGAGCCUCAAGCACAUAGCCUCAAACAUCAAGCAUCAAGCUUCGAGCCUUAAGACUCGAGACUUAAGACAUGAAACCUUAUCCCCAAAUAGAAGGCUCGAGUUUCAAGUCUCAAUUCUUGUGUCUCAAGUCUCGAGUCUUAGAGCUAAAGUCACACAUCUUAGGUCUUAAGUCUUGGGUCUCGCAUUUAAGGCUUGAGUCUUAAUUCUCGAGUCUUGAGGCUUAAGUCACAUGUCUCAAGUCUCGAGUCCCGUUUCUUGGAUCUUAAGUCUUGGGUCACAAGUCUCGAGUCUUGCAUCUUGCCUCUCAAGCCUUAAAUUUCGAGUCUCAAGUCUCAUGUUUGUAGUAUCAUGUCUCAAGUUUCAAGUCUUUCAUCUCAGAUCUAAGGUCUUUAAGCUUGGGGCUCUAGCUUGAUGCUUGGGUGCAAACAUUAAUAGAUGCCAAUUGAUUUAAUCCAAGGAAGAUAGUCAAGCAUGGUGAUAGAAUGUCCAAUUAGGUGUCUAAGUGACAAGAAAGUUGGCUUUAUUAAAAAAAUUUUUCAGUGAAAGCUUUUUGAAACUUUAGAACAUUUAAUGUUUAGUAAUGGCAAUCCUUAACCUCUUUUGAAUUUUUUAAGGAUCAAUAUAUGUUUGUGAAUAAUUAAGUGAAAAUGAAUGUGUUUAAGGUUGUGCUUCGAAUGAUACAAAGUAUUGUCAUUGAUUAAAUUAAAUGUAUCAAUGAUUGGCUUUUGAGGUUUUGUUCAAAUUUUUUCUAAAUUUUGUUUCAUGAUAACAAAAAAGGGAUUUCUAAAAAAAACUAAAAAACAAAAAAAAGAUUAAAAAAAAAACAAAGCAACAUAAAAGAGAUAAAAAAAAGAUGGAAAAAAUAGUGUUUUUUAAUAUGAACUUGUUGAUGCACUCAUUAAUAAUUUUGUUCUCAUCACCAUGCAUGAUCAAGGGUUUUUGUGUUUCAAAUCAUUCAUCAUCUUUUUACAUAUACAUACUCUUAGUCAUCCCAUCAUGUAUUCAAGCAGUUGUCAUUCAUUCACUUUUGUUGUAGGUAACAUCAUUUGACUUUAUUACAUUCAAUAAAUGAAGAGGAAAGAAUAUUGUUGAUUUUAGAGAAUUAAAGAUCUAUUGCUAAAGCUUUAUGAGGAAGUUAGAAAGAUAUUUUGUAAGGUAUAAUUUGUCUCUAGGUCUAAUUUGUUUCCAUGUUGUAAAAAGAGAAAAGCUCAAGGAAGCCCACUUAUCUUUUGUGCAAUACACAAGCUCAAGUUUUGAUCAUGGAUGAUGAACUGUCAAAAUGGAUAGACAAGAUUGAAAAGUGUUAGGAAGAGAUAAAGGAAUAGUUGACAAAGCUAAUAGAGAUGAUAAUUGCCAGUAUAGGAAAAGGGAUUGUCAAAGGAUUUUCAAGUUUGCGAGGGUUGAACCAAUUACCGACAUAGGAUCAACCUUUGUCGAUUCCAUGGGUAAAUGUUUCUGACCCAAUUCCCAUACUUGAUAUAGGCGACCCCAAAGAGUAAGGAAAACUAAAAGUGGAAUCAUCAAGAUCAAAACAAGAAUCUGGAGUGCAAAAAAUGUAUGACUUUUAAAGGAACGCCUUAUAGCCAUAGAGAGGAAAGAGUAAAUAUAGGGGUAUCUCAUCAAUAGAUUAUUCUGGGUGCAAAUAUGAUCUCCUUUCAAACAGUUGCCACUGAGGAGUCUAGAUCAACCGAUGAUUGCUUAUACUGAGGAAAGUGUUUCCCCUUAAAGCUGAAUUGAAAUGAGUUUUGAACAUGUUGGUACUAGAAGAGCAUUUCGAGAUUAGAGUUAAAAAAGUCAUGUUAUGCUCAUUUUGAGGUUGCUUGUAAGGACAAGGCAUGCAAGUUCGCUAUGCGUGCAAUAAAGUUGCCUAACCGAGAUUAUUGGCAAGUUCGCACAUUUCAAAAGGUACACACGUGGACUGUUGAUGAUUUGCAAGGUAGGUACCUAACAAUGAGCGCGAGGUUAAUUGGUGAACUUAUGUCCCCCAAGCUGUAAGGAAAUAAUAUAACACCAUUAAAACUUAAGGAAACAAUGGAAGAGAUAAAUCACAAAUAGGGAUUGCAAUGUUUGUAUAGUAAGGCUUGGCAAGUGAAGGAGUAUGUGAAGAGUCCUAUUUUCAGUCCACCAAAGGAGUCAUUCCAACACCUACCCUCGUAUUUCCAUAUGUUGGAACAUGAAAAUCUUGGUAUAGUCAAAAUUGUGGCUACCAAUCAGGCACAAUAAUUCAAAUAUUGUUUCUAGGCGUACGAGGCAUGGAUUUGGGGGUUCAAGGCUGUAAUGCGACCUGUAGUUACUAUCGAUGCCACACAUCAGAAAGGCAGAUUCAAGGGUAUUCUAUUUGUUGCUGUUUGCAAAGACAUAAACAAGUAGAUAUAUCUAGUUGCAUUUGGCAUUGGCCACAUUGAGGACGAAGAGUCGUGGUCGUGGUCUCUUACCUAAUUGCAUUGUGUGAUUAAUUAUACUAAAAAUGCAAUGUUCAUUUUUUAUCAACAUCUUGGCAAUAAGAAUGUAGUUGGAAAAAGUGUACCACGAUGCACAUCACGGUCUAUGCAAUUACCACUUGGGAAAAAAAACAUAAAAAAUAGGUUUAAGUGCUAAGACAUUGCAGUGAUUUUCACCCUUGUAGCAAUUGCUACAGGGUAGCUGAUUUUAACAAACAUAUGAAGCAACUGAAAUAGAUUUGCAAGGAUGCUUACGAACACCUUAUGAAAUUACACCCUGAAAAAUGGGCACGUGCAAGGUCAUCAGUAAGAUGCUACAAACUUAUGACAUCCAACAUUGCAAAGUGUAUUAACUCAUGUUUGAGGCAAGUAAGAACCAUGCCAAUCGCCGUCUUGAUUGAGUGCAUUAAAGGCAUGUUCCAGCAUUGGGUUUAUGAACGACAUAAGGAGGCCUUCAAUUUGACCACACCUCUCAGCCCUUGGGCUACUGAUCUGUUGAACACAUGGUUCAAUGAAGCAUGUCACUUUUCUACACAAGUAAUUGAUCAAGUGGAGUUUUAAGUUAUUGGCAGGAGUAAGGACAGAGUAGUAAACCUGUCCACUAAGACGUGUUCAUGUGGGGAGUUCCAAACCAAUCUACUACCCUGCAGCUAUGCCAUGGCUGCAAUAAGGUGCAAAUAUCCAUGUUUUUUAUUUGCUUUGUAAUGAAUUGAACUUUUACAUGGUUCCUCAACUGUGAGUUCAUUAUCUUCAUGGUAAGUGCAAAAGCACAGCCAUUGAAUUCUGCUCGGGCUAUUACAAGACUUGGUCUUGGGUGGAAGGUUAUGUUGUUCCCAUUUGCCUAGUUAGGCAUCCCAAUCAUUGGGAAAUCCCCCAUAAUGUGAAACAAAGUAUUGUUUUGCCACCAUCUUGGUGAGGUCAAGUCGAAAGACUUAGGAAGAGAAAGAUUCCAUUAGUUGGGGAAGGUAGUCAAUGACGGAGAUGUUCACAAUGUAAGAGCUAUGGUCAUAAUAGACAAAAUUGCCCAAUGCCGUUUGCAGUUCCAUUAACAAAUCUAGCACCAUCUUUUAGUCAGUCAGCACCUCAACGAUGACAACGACAACCAAAAGUAUGUUCAACUUGUAGAUAACCCGGGUACACAAGCAAUUGCUGUCUAAUGUGAAUGACAAACUCUGAGAAUGUAUGGGGUCUUAUAGAUGAAGAUAGUGGCUCCUUAGAAUGAAGUGUAUCACAUAGACCAUGAUUUGUAUGCUGAUUAAUUAGUGGAGCCAGAAUACUCUUGUUAUGAUAUUUUGAUCAUUGUUUAUGAACCUGAUGUUUAUCCCAGUCUGUAUGGUCCAUUGCCAUUGACGGAUUAAACGUGUAACAUCAUUGUUAAUUACUUUUGAAUACAUAUUUGUUAAUUAGUUUUCUUAAGUCUCAUUAAUGCUUAAUAUGAUCAAUGAACAUAUUUGUUAAUUAGUUUUUUUAUGCCUUGCUGUUAAUAGAAGCAUAUGGUAAUUAAUUCCCAAACUAUAAAAUAAAUGAGAAAAAAAAAAGAAGAAAACAUGUUGUUAUAUAUUUCCAUUAUUUUCAAGAAAAAUCUUACUCUUUUGUUUCUUGGGGAAGCUAGCCUUUGAUAGAAACUGAUUAAUUUUAGAAUAGAGGAUAAGAAUGUUGAUGCAAGGAAUACCAUUAUAAGCUUUUGUUAAUUUGCUUCACUUAAUAUGGGAAGACAUUGCCAAUUUCUCAAUUUCUUUUUUAUGGUGUUACCUAUAAUGUUAAUGAUUCAAGUCAACAAACAUUUAAUUUGAGUGUUGAAAAGCCUUAAUGGCAAGUCAAUCAUGUUCAAUAGAAUGCAAUACUGGAUGUGAGGUCACGUAAUGUUUAAUAACUAAUCAUGCAAUAUUUAAAAACAGUUACGUAAUGCUUAAAAACCAGUCAUGCAAUGCAAUGCUGGAUGUGGGGUCACACAAUGCUUAAUAAUGUCUCAAAACCAGUCACACAAUGCCUAUGUCAUGCAAUGUCUAAAAAAUUAAAAUGUAAUGCCCAAGUCACGCAAUGGCCGUAUGUUAUACUCAUAUUUAGUUUUGGAUUGUAAAUUGUGUAAACUAUCUACAAAAUAUAUGAUUUCCACAAUUGUAAAGCUAUACAUAAUUCAAAAGUUUAUAACUCAAUGGUUGGAGCAAUAAUAAACAAAGCUACUUUACAAGCUUAAGUCUGAAUAAAAAAAAUAAACAAAGUUACUUUGCAUUUGAUGAUGAACUUAUCUUAAUACUAUUGGAAAAAAUAUCUAGUGCAUAUCUUUUCCUCAACCUUUUAAUAACGUCCUUCCUUAGCUUCAUGUCACGUGUACCAAUAAGCCAUUCCAUUGUCGUGAUUACCUAGUCCCAAAAAUUAUUCCUGUCCUCCUAUUUCGAGGUUGAAUGAUUUAAUUGCCAGCUCAUUCGUGUCCAAGAUUGUGUUCUACAACGCUCUUUGUUGAAAUACUCAGAUUGGUGGCAUAUAAUGGGAAUCAGUGCGAUUAAGGGACGUAUUUGAAACUUAUGCAAUGGGGACUUAAUUGCAUCAAAACAAUCAUAUGAGGAGUACACCAACGUUAUACCCCAGUUGACCAAGUUGAUAUGCACUACAACCUAGUGGUCGUUAAAAUGGCACAAUGCUAAGAUUGAGUCAACCUCAUGCCAUGGCUUCCCUCACGGAGGAUUAUCACCCCUCACAUCAUCAAGCAAAAGUUCAAGAAUAACCACCUUCUUCAACUUGAACUAAGGAUCAAGAGGCUUAGAGUCCAUUUCAUGGCACAUGGCAUGCAAUAAUGUCCUGUCAAUUUAGUUAUGCUCAAUAGUUAGACGCCAUGAACUAAACCCUUAAAGAAUUAUUUUAAUAAUUAAAACUCAUUAUAAUAUACUUAUAUAGAAAAACGUGUCAACAAUGCAUGUGUUCUACUUGUGCAACAAGGAAUGGUGCUCACGACUAUGCUUACACAUAAUGCUGAUGCAUGGGUCAAUGUGUUGGCUGUUCAUCCACUUAUCUGGCUUCUCCAAUUGCUUGAAAAAUUUAAGGCUUUCUUACCUGUAGAUGCCUAUCAUGUUAACCUUGCACAUAUAAAAUGCUAGCAUUAAAAGAUCAUUGGAUUCAAUUAUUUCGAACCGUAAUGCCUAAUUCCAUGUAAUAUUUUCAUUUUACUUGGGGUGCUUGUUAUUUUUCAAGCACUUCUAUUUUUCCUUCAAUGCGUCAUUCUUUUUGUAUUGGACUAAUAAGGGGUUGAUGUAAGGGCUCUUCAGGUAUUUUCUUGCCAUGCUCAACCGUGUAUCUUUAACCAGAGAUAGAGGUGGAGCUUUAAAAGGAGGUGUGCUUUGAGCAUGAUGUAGGGCCUAAAGCGAAGGUAUGUUAUGAGCAAGAUGUGAGGACUUAGAAAGAUAUGUGUAUAGGGCAAGAGAAGGUGAGCUCUGAGCAUGAUGUGGGGACAUAAGAGAAGGUGUGCUCUGAGCUAGAGGGACGUACAAGCCUGGUUGGGACUAUUUAGCAUUCAUAUACGAGUCCAAACUAGUUGGCUUAUCACCACCCGUGGGCAAAUUUGAACCAAUAAGCUCAUCACCACCUGUCCUCUAAUCCAUACCAAUUGGCUCAUCACUAUCAACCCCACAAGCAUUGCUAUCUUUGUUGCGCUCACCAUCUUGUUGACUAGUGAUUUGUGCAUCAAAUACAUAUAUUUAGUGGGAGAUUAAAUACUUAAUUAGUUUAAGUUAGACUAGAUUUAGGAUCAGAUUUAGGUGUUUUUAUUUAUUUUAUUAGUUUAGUUUAAUUUAUGUUUAAAAGUUUAUUUUAAAUUAAUAAUGUUAGUUUUAUGUUAUUUAUAUUUAUUUUUAUGUUUUCGUAGGAGUAGGAUCAAAAAUAAUUUCAAUUGGUGAAGAAAGGUGCAUAAUGGACUAGUGCUCUGUUUGCAUAUAUUUCGAUUUUUCAAGUAUAUCUCCCACUACGAACGUCCAAGUGAUAAUAUUUUUAGACGAUUAGAAAGCUAAGAGAAAGGGCUACAACUUUGAUUUUACCACUCUAUCCAAUUAUGAACUGAAGGUGGUCAAAAUCUUUAUCGAAAAAAAAAUACUACACCAAAAGAACAAAAUUGAGUAGAACCUUUAAGAGUCGCGGCUCUAAAAAAUGAAAGCCACGGCGCUCAAUAUAUUUUCCAAAAAUAACAAGCUUACAGGAUUUUGGGAGUUAGGGCUUUUGGAGGCUAUUUAAGGGGCCUUUUUCAGAGGUUUUUGGGAAGAGGCAGCAAGCAAUUUCUCUAGAGAAAAAAAGCCAAAAACAAAGCAAGAAAGUAAGAGACUUAGAGAGAGAAUCAAGAUCACAAAACUUCAACCAUUAGUUUUUUCUCUCUGCUUUUGUGUUUUCUUAUUUUCUUUGACUUAGAUUAAUGGCUAAUUUUCUUUGGAUAAAGUUUUUAUUAGAUAUUAUGAACUAAAUUAGUUUUCUAAGAUUGCAAUUGAGCUCACAUGUAAUCUAAAAUUUUAAUCUCUUUCUUGCUUAUCUUUAAUGGGAUUAGAAUUGUUUAUUCCAAUUUGUUCUUAAUGCUUUUAAUUACUUAAUUACCAAUUAAAUUGAUUUAGGAACCUAAACAAACUUGGGCAAGGGAGUUUAGUAUAGACUAAAAUUGGGAUAGCAUAUGAUCAUAUUAAUUAAUUUGCAUAUAAGAUAGGGAUAUACCUAUAGGCUAUAUGUAGCCAGAUUAGAACCUGAACUUAAUGAGUCUAUUUUAAUUUCAAUUCACAUAGGAAUACAGUGUUUUGGUUAAAAUAAAUAUUUUUAUAAGAUGAGUCGGGAGAUCUUUAUAAAUAAUUGAGAACUCUAGGUUAGCAAUUUAACCCAUUGAAAUAAGUUAAGAAAAAGAGCUAAGAUUUAGAUAAAGUGUGAGGGAUAUUGUAAUCUUAGGCUUGUUUGAUUUGCUUUUUACCCAAUUAUCUUGUUGCUUUAAUUUUUAAUUAAAUUAGUUUAGUUGACUAGUUUUUAGUUUAAUUAGAAUUCAGAUUUUAAUUAUUUGAAUAAAACUAAAUUGUUCUAAUUUUAGUACUUAGUAAAAUUUUCAAUCAAUUCUCUAUAGGAUCGAUUCUCUGUUUGCUUAUAUACUAUCUAUUCGAUACAUAUACUUGUGUAGUUGAAUUUUAACUGACAAGUUUUUGGUGGCAAUCAGGUAAUUAAAAGCAUUAAGAACAAAUUAAAAUAAACAAUUCAAAUCCCAUUAAAGAUAAGUAAGAAAGAGAUUAACAAUUUAGAUAACAUGUGAGUUCAAUUGUAAUCCUAGAAAAAGAAAAUUAGCUACUCAUAAUUGCAAAGACAAAUAACAUUAUAUAAAUUUCAACCAUUGAGAGUAACAAGAAAAAUAAAAGCUAAGGAAGAAACAAAAGAAAUAAUUACAGUCUUGCUCUCCAAGUUUCAACCUCUACUUCUAGCUUCUUAAAUCUCCAAAAGUUGUCUCCCCUAUUGUCUCUUAAAAAUAUCCUAUUUGUACUAACAAACUUAACCUAUAGUGCCCUAAGUUGACCUAUGAUUUAAUUGGGUUUAAAAGUGUAAUGAGAGGCCCAAACAUCAAUUGUCAGUAUUAAAAUUACCACUCCUGUAAUAGUACACUCAACCUUUUUCCAAUGCAAUUUUCUCUAUCUUUGAUGUAGAACUAGGUAAAGUCAUCUCAGAAAAUGUUUAGCUCUAUCUCUUAGCUUUCUAACGGUCCAAGAAUCACAGCAUUUGGAGUCCUAUAGGGCAAGUUAUGGUCAAAACACUGUAACAUAUGCAAGUAGAUUUCCGAGUCUUUCAACACCUUACUUUCCAAAAUCAAGCCCAAUUUCCUUAGUUUUUACAAAAACAUAAAAACUAAUAAAUAAUAACCAAAUUAAAGGAAGUAAACAUAAAAUUAAAAUAACUCACUUAAAGAUAAACUAAUUAUAAAAAAAACUAAAAAAAACUAAAUUAUAAUUAAAAAUUAAGGACUUAGCUAAUAUUUAAUAACAGAAUCGGAUUAAAAUAAUUCUAUAAAAUAGAAUUAUCAACUGGUAUACCCACUUUACAUAAUGACAGAAAGUAAACACAUUAAAACAUCAAAUACAUCCUAAAUGUUAUAUAUUGAAAAUGAAAAAAAAAAAAGAUAGAAACUCAUACCUCAAAAUGGUUUAGAAGUCGACGUACAAGUCGGUCCUUUAGCCCUUACAGCUCCUGUCGAAUCUCUGGUUGGAUUUCUUACUACAUUGACUACAUUUCUCACUGGAUCUCAAAUUGCAUUGACUAUAGGCCUUCUUUUACUAUGUCUUUAGCCAUUUCAACUGACACUUUAAGACUGUAUGCAUCUGAGGAUGCUGUAUUGUAUGCUUAUGAUCAUCAUGCAGGGAAUAGCAGUAAGAGCCUCAAGAGUAACAGGAAGGCUACCUACCUCGUCCAUAAUGCACCUUCACUUAGCAGCUCUUUUAACUUUUUACUCUAUAUGCGUGAUAAUCUUCCACCUUUGUUCGGAACCGAAUGUUACUUGACCCUUCAACUGGCAUAAUGGAAUGUACUAAUGCCUCUAGGAUAGAGGGACAUUAAUGUCGGCCCAAUAUGCCUCCAAGUUCCCCUCCACAGUUGACUCCAAGGUUCGUAAUAUGUGCAAUUGCACCAAAACAUGCAUUACCAUUAGGUUGAAAGAUAGUUGACAUAUGACAACAAAAAAUAAAAUAAAAAUAGUAUCGUUUCAUUCCUUACCUUGUCUUCACUCUGUAAAUCUACAAUAAUCUUAAGGAAGCUUAUGGACUUCUCAUCACAAUGCCAUCUAAACUUUUAUGGAUAAGUGUCUUCAGAUUGGUGGGGGGAUCCAAAGUAGUUUUGGAUAGCAAGAAUGGCCUUUAACUCCGAUAAUUGCAAGUCAAUUGUAAACAUUAUAAUCACUUAAUAAAAUCUUAAGUGAAAAGGAAAUGGAAAACCUUAAAGCAUACUACCUGUAGUGCCCAUACAAAUCCAUAUAAGUGGAGACUUUCUUCUUAGACGUCCCAAUUAGAGGAAGUUGAAAACCCUUCGAUAUGUAGUCCACGGUCAGACUCGACACAUAAAUACCCCAUGGAACGUAUUCUACUAGUCGAUGUUCUCAACCAGUGACAACAGCAAUAGUGUCAUCGAUUUUUUAUAGUCUUGACCGAAUAAAAUAUUAUUAGGGAUGAAGAGUAGGGCCAUCUUUAUUGCGUCUUCGUCUUGAUCAAACUAGCCUCUUUCGACCCUGUCUAACAUAUCUUGGAGCUUCACUUAGUUUUCCACUCCCUAGUAUCUCUGGUGAAUUCUUUUGGGGAUGGCCUCAUAGGGACUUAAGAUAACAUCUGACAUGGGGUCGAACUUUAGUUCUGUCACCAGGCAAAACUCACACUAGGAGAAACGCACCUUAGUAUUACCUAUGGCAAACCGUAACUCACCCUCGAUGGCCCUGGGUUCAUCAAUUCUACAUAGCAAAAGGUUGUUCAUGAGAUUGGCAUUGAAUAAGCUCUUUUUUGAUUUUACGUUCAUUAGCUUCUUGAAACACAUUUUCUUCAUUGCCUUUAACUCAUUUUUUUCCAUAACGCCUCAAGUAUGGCAUGCAAAUGCAUCCACUUACAGUGGAUAUUAUGCCAACGUUGAAGCCCCACUUGUCCCUCAAAACACAAAGCAAAGCUUUUAAGUUCUCUUGCUCUAUUCUGGCCAUUUCCAAUAGAAAACAGAUAACAUAUCCAUUAAGCAAAUAUGAUCAAGGAAAAUUAAAAAACAAGAACUAGUUUUUACUAUCUUUGCAUACAUAAAAGAAAAAUAAAUGAAGCAUGUGUGAAGCAUGGCUUAUUAAGUAACAAAACAGAUACAUAAUACAAGCAUUAAAGUUAAACAAAAAAUAGAAAAGCAUUAAUAUCCAAGCAAUGCCUAAAAACCAGUCAUGCAAUGCCUAAAAACCAGUCAUGUAAUGUCCUAAAAACCAAUCAUUCAAAGCCUAUCAACCAGUCAUGUAAUGACUAAAAACCAGUCAUGUAAUGCUUAAAAACCAGACACGUAAUGACUAAAAACUGGUCAUGCAAUACUUAUCCACCAGUCACUGUAAUGCCUUAUCAACUAGUCACACUAUGACUAAAAACCAGUCACGUAAUGUCUAAAAAUCAGUAACGCAAUGCCUAAAAAUAGAUCACUUAAUGCCCUAAAACUAAUCUCUAAAACCAAUCAUGCAAUGCCUUAAAAACUAAUCACUAAAAACCAAUCAUGUAAUGCCCUAAAAAUCAAUCACGCAAUGCCUACAUACCAGUCAAGCAAUGCCCUAUCAACUAGUCACGCAAUGCCUAAAACCCGAUCACAUAAUCCCCUAUCAAUUAGUCAUGCAAUGCCUAAAACCAAUCACGCGUGCCCAAUCAACCAGUCACACAUGCCUUGUCAACAUUCGACCCAAAAACCACAAAAACUACCAAAUUCCAUUUAACAAAAUCAACAGCUUCAAACACACCAUAUUUCAUUUAACAACAUAAUCAACAAAUAUGCCUACUUGAGGAGGGAUGCUCGAAAUGCUCAAAGAUAUUUCUUCGUGUAUAAAAAACCACUCUAAAAUACUCGAAACACUCAAAGGGUUUUCUUCCUGGUGAGGAAUGCUCUAGAGAUGAAAGGCCUAUCGAGGAAAGCUAAGAAAUUACAAUUGUAAAAAACUUGACCUAAAUUUAUGGAUCAGUUUAAGGCGUGGACCCAAACAUUUAGGUCAGUUUCAUUAAGGGCAAUUUUAUCCAAAAUUAAUUUAUCUUGGCUAAAAAUAGUUAAAAUUAUAAGAAGGGAUAUUUCAAAGACACCUUAUGUAUGAAGGCUAUUUUUGAAAAAAAAUCCUAAAAGUAAGUAUUCUCAAAGUUCUUGCUUAAUUAACAAAAAUAUUUCAAGCAAUUGAUUGAAUAAAGACUCCCAUGGCUUGCGUCCAAGACCAUGAAGAAGAAAAAUAAACAAAAAAAGUCUUGGCAAUAGAGGGUGAAGAUAAUCUCGAAAGAAUUGAUAAUUAUUAUUUAGAAUGAACAUGUCCUUGCAAACAUUAUCAAAUCAUCUCUCCAAACACCUCUAACCCAAACCACUUGAAUAAAAGCCACUCAAGAACUUGAAUCCAGAAGGAAAUGAAAGUUUCAAUCUUUCAUCAAUCUUAUCAUGUUAUACCAAAGGUUGAUUAUCUUUGUCUAAGCAAUGAUCAUUGUUAUAACUGAUUGAUUUUUUUCUUUUGUGUUUUUUUGAAAAUCAAUCAAAUCAAAUACUCUUAUAAAGGAUUAGAAUUUGGUAAUUUUUUUAAGUGUCAAAGUUAUGCUAAAGCUUUAAAUAUGCCAAGGCCACUCAAAUUCUUUCAAUUGGAUACCAAAUGCAAACUUUUCAACCCAUUGUCUAAAGUUACCCCUCACCCAUAUUCGAGAGGCAAAAUGACUAAAAGAACAAGAUUACCAAUACCUCCAAGACCCUUGGUUGCAAAACAUCUUUUGUUUCUAUCUCACUUGGAAAAAGUAACAUGAGCAAUCCGUUCUAAGCAAAAUUGAGUAAUGAUAAGAGAUUUUGAAGUCAUUGUUGCUCAAAGUUGUUACAUAAGCCUUCAUUUGAAUGGUUGAUUAAGGAGGGACAUUCUCGAUAGAUCUUUCAUUUGAAAAUUUUAAUUCAAACUUAAGUUGCUAAGACAUGAAAUAACAAAAAAAAAAAACAAAUAGAGUGAGAAAAGGAAUUAGGAAAAAGAAGAAAAAAAAUGAAAGAAUGGUGAGGAAAAGUUAAUUGUGACAUGAUGCACAAGGGAUACUCAAAUGAUGCUAAAAAAAAAAAUCAACCUUCGCUCACAAAAUUCUUCUUUUUUAGGGAUUGCUUUUUAAUGAAUUAACUAUACUUGAUAUGAGAAAUGGUCAUGUUUGAUUUUCCUUUCACAAAUGAGAAAUUAUCCGCUUGUUACCCCUUUGAGCCUAUUUUAUUUUUUUCAAAUGCAUCUUAAGCAAGGAUCACCUCCCAUAUUGGAGGCACAUAUGUAGGACAAUCUUUUCUAAAAGCAUGGAUGAUAGAAGUUCCAUUUCGAAGAAAAAGGAAACAUUGGGGCAAAUGUGAAAUGACUUGAGUUCAAAAAAAUUUUUAAAACUUAAUUCAUCAAAAUGAAGAUUGCAAAAAAAAAAAAGAGCAUAGAAAUGAAAUAUCUCAAAAGCAUAGAAAAAACAUGCUUUGAAAAAAGACAAAUAUCUCAAAAGAGUCCUUUACAUGACAAGAAGUGAUCCUUGAUUUGAUCACCCUUAAGUAAAUGUUUUAGCCUUUUUUAUCCAUUCGUUCAAAAUCAUUAACCUUAACCUACAUUACGUGCUUGAAAAAAUCCAACAAAUUUCCAAGACACAAGACAAUUGAAGAGAAGAGCUCAAUGUUUUUUCCUUAAAGGGAAUGAAUUAUUCAUAGUAUCAUUUGCGGGAUGUCCAUUAAAGUGUGUUUCUCUUGCUAAUGUAAAUCCCUUAUUGAAAAAAGUUCAGGUCGAAAGUAGUGGGGAACAUGAUGAUAAAAGGAAGCUUUAUUAGAAGUUGUUGGAUCUUGGAUAUUAUUGGCUUUCCAUCGAAGCGGAUACGGUGAAUUGUGCAAGGAAAUGCCAUGAAUGUCAAGUCCAUGGAAACGUCAUACAUGCUUUAGUAGUAGUAUUGCAUAAUGUCAUCACCCCUUAGCCUUUCCACACUUAGGUGUUCGACUUAGUUGGGCCUAUCAGUCCCCUUUUUAUAGGACAUACAUGGAUACUUGCAUUAAUGGAGUGCUUCACCAAAUGGGUAGAGGCUAUUACCUUAAAGAAUGCAACUGGACUGGUCAUGGCCAGCUUCAUUAAAGAGAACAUCAUGUGUAGAUUUGGAAUACCUAGGCUUAUCUUAUUAGAUAAUGGCACUCCAUCUAUGGACUUUAGCACAAAAGAACUCUUUGCCCUUUAUGAUGUCAACCAUGUGAAGUCAACCUUUAUUGUCCUAAAGGAAAUGGUCAAGUCGAAGCCACCAACAAGACUCUGCUUAAGGUGCUGAGUAGAAUGGUACAUGAUAACCCUAAGGUAUGGCAUAAUGCUAUUUUAGUGGCAUUAUAGGUGUACAAGACUUCCAAGUGAGGACUUACCAACACUACUCAUUUUUCUUUAGUUUACGAAACAAAAGCUAUUUUGCCAGAAGAAAUCCUAAUUCCAUCAACAACUUGAUACUGAAAUGGACAAUGAUGCUUUAUUAAUGAUGGAAUUGGAAACAUUGGAAGAAAUGAGGGAUUAAGUUAAGAAGACCUUUUCCAUGUGUAAGAAAAGGUUAAACAGAGCGUAUGACAAGCUAGUAAGAAAAAGAAGUUUUGAAGAAGGUAAUUUAGUACCCCAUGCAGUAGAGUGUAUUAGAAAAGGAACAUUCACAUUAAGUUUAGUCCAAAAUGGGAAAGACCAUACAUUGCUCAUGAGGUGAAUGAGAACAGAUAUUACAAGCUAAUUAAUCUAAAGACCAAUGUUGUUACAGCACUAGUCAAUUUUCAAUACAUUAAGAAGUAUCAUGUAUGAGAACAUUAUCCAUUAUUUGUCUUUUUUUAUGAAUGACUUCUCAGAGUUAACUUUUGCUUAAUUGUCUUGUGAUAUUUUAAAGUAAAUACAUUUUCAACCGUAACUUUAUCACUUUCAUUUUGGUUAUCUUAUGAUAUUUUAAAGUAAAUGCAUUUUUAGCCAAAACUUUAUUGCUUCCAUUUUUGUUAUAUUACUUAUAUUAAAUCAGAGGCUGUAGCUAUAUUGCUAUCCUUUGGCCAUGGUUGCUCAUUCAAUAAGCCAUAGCUUUAAAUGCUCAUAUAAAAGAUGUGUUAUUCCACUUCACAUCAGUUUGAGAAUCAUUCUCCAUAAUGUGAAGUUGAGAAUACCUUUUUUAACUGCACACAAUAAUACAUGUGAAACAUACAUGUGUAUGCAAAAAGUGAAAUAUAGAACAAAAUAUUGUAUCAAAAAGCUAAUCUUAGUUUUACAUGGGAGAGAAUAUAACCAUGAAAAAAGUAACUAAAUGUUUAUUAUGGAAAAUAAGUCUAUAAUGUCAGAAAAAGAAGAACAAGAACAAGUUAUUUAAGUAUGAAGUUCAAAGGUGUUGAGGAUCCAUUAUUCUUAAAAUCAUAAAAGUUGUAUAAUCUUCUUUACAACUCUAUCUUCCAAUCUCUCAGUGAAGCCAUCUGUGAGUCAAUCUCUUUUAUCUCAGACUCCAUGCCAGGUUUGUCAACAAUGUAUUUGUUGGCCUUGACUAUACAAGAAUCAAGACUUUUAAUUUGACAACCAAAUUAGGAGAUGUUUUCCAUGUGACUCAUCAUCUACUUCAAAUCCUUAGAAGAAAUGUUAACUCAUGGGGAAGAAGCAAUCUCUAAGGCACAGUCCAAGACAUCCAUAAUAGCUCUAUUCAAGAAUCUAUUAUUAAAAGGCUAAAAUUCACCUUCUACUUUAGAUACACUUCAAAAGCUCUUAGUGUUGCAGUAAGACUGGAAUGCCAUAAAAGUAUUUUAAAGGAGUGUCAGAAGUAUUAUCUCUACGUUCUAUCAUUAAAAAAGGGUGACACAUAAUGAAUAGUAAGAAGAGGUGUAAAUAUACUUAAAUAAACAAUAUUUGAGUUAUUUAGAAUACCUCUAAGAGAAAAAGAAGCAUUGCGAGUAAUAUUCGAAACACUCCUAGAAGGAAAAGAAGGAUUGCGAGUAGUAUUCAAAACACCCCUUAAAGAAAAAGAAUUACGAAGAGAAUUCAGAACACCCUUAAGAGAAGAAGAAACAUUACGAGGGUAUUCAAAACACUUUGAGGAGAAUAAGAAGAAACAUUGCAAGUAGUAUUCGAAAAGCUCCUAAGAGAAGAAAAAACCUUACGAGUAAUAUUUGGAACACCUUCAGGAGAAGAAGAAGCAUUACGAGUUGUAUUUGGAACACCUCUAGGUGAAGAAACAUUACGAGAAGUAUUUGGAACACCUCUAGGAGAAAAAACAUUACAACACAUCAUUGCUAUUGAUGGAAGAAACAUGCAAUUGCAUUUUAAGGUUAAGUAAUGCUGGGUGAAGGCUGAUCAUGCAUAAAAUACUUAUGGAAAUGCCGUAAAAAAUAAAAAUGAAUAAAAUUGCACUUUAUCCUCCUAGGAUUUUCUCCAUGUCGAAUUAAAUACAAAAGUAAAUUAAUAAAUAAAAUAUAUGAUCAGAUCAUAUCACCUAAAUAACUAAGGUUGAUGAGUUCUUUGUUAAACCACUAAAACAGCCUUCAAAAAGCUCAACUACCUCAGCCUAGUUGUUGUAAACCAAAGUUGUCUUAGGAAUCCUUGUGCAGCCUCUGAUGGUAAACCACACCAAUAAAUCAGAAAAUCCUUCUCUAAGAAUUGAGAAUGCUAUGCCUUAAUAAUGUACUAGCAAAGAUGAGUUUCAUAUGUUGGCUCAAUUAGUUUUUGAUGAUAAUAAAAUAUUCCGAUUUCAUUUGUGUCUAACAUUUCUACCUAAGUGUGUAGGAUAAAAAGUCAUAUGGAAAUAAUAAAUCAACUUUCAAAUGGGUAUAUAAAAAAUCAUGAAAAUGAAGAUAAAUGAUUGAUCAACAAAAAGUAAGGUCUUUAGUUAAAUAAUGAAGAAUGUUGGUUGACUAAAAUUUAAAUUGGAGAAAUGGCGGGCUGAAGAAUAUUAAGAAAUAGAACCAACUUAGUCGACCAAGAUGAGAGUUAGUCGACUAAGAAGCUACUGCCAAAAUCUGGACUUCAAGACAGAACCAACUUAGUUGACCAAGAAAUGAGUUAGUCGACUAAAUGCUCUCUGUUAGAAUCUGCGACCAGAAGACAUAACUAACUUAGUCGACCAAGAAGAAAGUUAGUCGACUAAGAGCUCUCUGUUUGUAAUUUGAACCAGAGCACUGAAAGACAGAUUAACGGUUAGAACCUACUCUCAACUGUUUCCAACGGCCAUUAACUGCCAAAUUGCCAUCAGAAUUGUUUCUUCAAGUAUAAAAGGGUCUUCCAAUGGUUAAAAAAUUAGUUUUUUGAGGUUUUGGAAGAGAUUUGAGUCAUUAAGAGCUGAAAAACCAGAAAAUCUUGUCUGCACCUUUCUGCACUUAAACGCCUAUCCUUUGUAUUUGUAUUCUGCACUCAACCUUGUACAAUUUAGAUCAACCUGUGAUCAUAGGUACUUUCUUUUACUUCUCUUCUUGUAUUCUUAGAGUGAGGAAGUCACUCUAAGUGGUUGUUUCAAGUUAGGUUUGCUUGAAUGUGUUAAAGUUCUAACUUAGCAUUGAAAAGUUAGGUGUUGGGUUAUAGUUGAGCUUGGAAAAAACUAGUGUAAAAGGUUUUGGCUAAGCCUAGUAAAAGCCAUUGUAAAACUUGGUGAAAGCUUGUGAAUUUCACCGUUUCUGGUGGACUGAGUUGAAAAAUCCUUGGUUGGAUAAUCAAGGUAGUGGAUGUAGGUCUUGGACCUAACUACUCUAAAUUCUACUGUCUUGUUUACUCUAUUUUUAUUUUGUUUUCUUUCUCUCAUUUAUCUUGCAUUUGUCUACACUUAGAGACAAUUUUUGAAAGAGCCAAAUUGUGUUAUUCACCCUCCUCUAGCACAUUUACUUGGAAUCAACAAGUGGUAUUAGUGCUAGUUACCUGUUCUUAAGGUCUAACACCCUUUGGAAGGAUCCAAAUGGCUAUCCAAAAAUCUAUAGUUGUUGAGGGACAAUCAACAAACAAACCACCUCUGUUUGAUGGCUCUUGUCAUGACCUAGAACUCCCAUCGAGCCCGUGACAACCGCCUCGAUGUCUCAAUAGACAUUCAUUACCUAAAAUGUCAACUGAAACCCCGUAAGCCUUUAAUAUCAGUUUUCUCGCUUUCCUUGUGAGUAUUAGUUACUAAAAUCAUGUUUUAAAGUGAUAUGAACCAAUUUCAAUUCAAAAACAGUUAAAAAGAAGUUUCAACUACACAGGGGUAUUUUGGUAAUUUUUCUCAAAAAUUUCAAAACCAACUAAAAAUGUAGUAUGCGAGUGGAAAACACAUAUUUCAUAAUCAAAGAUAAGUUUAGAUGUCUAAAACAUUCAUUUAAAGUGAAACUAUAACUAUGUGAAUAUAAUAAAAAUAUUUAAUAAAAUAUUCUAUUUUCUUAUAAAACAAUAUUUAUAGAGUUAUCGGUAAAUAAUUUUUGUAGCGUAAAAGCUAAAUAAAUUCAUACAUACUGUAAUACAGAUAACCAAAGCAUAAGAUUUAAUUUACAGUGACACAUGGGCCCACGAACGACCAAAAGUAUNUUAAUUUACAGUGACACAUGGGCCCACGAAUGACCAAAAGUAUCAAAAGCGGUAAACCUACAGUUUUGGAGGAUGCAAAUCCAACUGUAGCCCUCAAUGAAAUGAGCUAUCUACAGACUAUCCUGAGCCUGAAAUUGGUGAAAAUGAGGGUGGUAAGAUUAUAUAAUCCUAGUGAGUAAACAAAUACCAUCUAAAAUAUCUAAAGCUGAGUAAAUGGAGACAGAUUAAAAUAGAUCAUCAUACUAUAAUUCAUCACCUUUCAACUCAUUUCAACCAAAUAAAAUCAAUUCAUAUAUAUCGAGUAAUCAACAUGGCUUAUGAAUUUCUUAAAAGCUUUGGCUCUUGCCAAAAUCAUUCUCAUACUCGGUUGUCAGGGAUACCUUGACCUAGGGCUAUCCCAACCGAGUCCGCCCAGGCUGUUAAAAAGUCAUGUACGCAUAAAUCAUGUUUUUAUUUUUAAAACAUAGACAUUCCUUGGAGUUGGCUGAGUUCACCCUCACGUGGUGGUUUAGCAUGAAGUGAACUCUAAAAUUGUACCUCGAGAGUUACCUUACACGCCUCUCCGACCGAGGUAAGAAUAUAACGGGG